CUACGGGACGCUCCAGUCGAGAAUCUUUAGCAAUGGGCGAAAGCCUGACUAUGCGACGCCGCGUGAGCGAUGAAGAUCUUCGGAUCGUAAAGCUCUGUCAGGCCGGAUGAAUUGUGGUUGGGUUAAUAUCCCGACCAUUUGACAGUACGGCCAAAGGAAGCCACGGCUAACUCCGUGCCAGCAGCCGCGGUAAUACGGAGGUGGCAGGCGUUACUCGGAUUCAUUGGGUGUAAAGGGCAUGUAGGUGGUUUUGUAAGUCGAACGUGAAAUCCCUUCGCUCAACGGAGGAACUGCAUUCGAUACUGCUUAACUUGAGUUUGGGAGAGGAGAGUGGAAUUCCCGGUGUAAGGGUGAAAUCUGUAGAUAUCGGGAGGAACACCAGUGGCGAAGGCGACUCUCUGGACCAAAACUGACACUGAAAUGCGAAAGCUAGGGGAGCGAACAGGAUUAGAUACCCGCGUAGUC
rnacentral:rRNA from 1 species